rnacentral:rRNA from 1 species
CCAAUAGCGUAUAUUAAAGUUGUUGCAGUUAAAAAGCUCGUAGUUGAAUUUCGAGACCGGUUUACUGGUCGUGCUUUUGUACGUACUGGUAUUAUUGGUUUCUCCUUUCUGACGAAUCAUAAUGCCAUUAAUUUGGUGUUUUGGGGAAUCAGGACUGUUACUUUGAAAAAAUUAGAGUGUUUAAAGCAGGCUCACGCUUGAAUACAUUAGCAUGGAAUAACGGAAUAGGACGUUUGAUUCUAUUUUGUUGGUUUCUAGGAUCGACGUAAUGAUUAAUAGGGAUAGUUGGGGGCAUUAGUAUUCAAUUGUCAGAGGUGAAAUUCUUGGAUUUAUUGAAGACUAACUACUGCGAAAGCAUUUGCCAAGGAUGUUUUCAUUAAUCAAGAACGAAAGUUAGGGGAUCGAAGACGAUCAGAUACCGUCGUAGUCUUAACCAUAAACUAUGCCGACUAGGGAUCGGAUGAUGUUAAUUUUUUAAUGACUCAUUCGGCGCCUUACG